GCAUUUUAUUAGAUCAAGACUAAUCGGCUUCGGCCGUUUACUUGGUGACUCUGAAUAACUCAGCUGAUCGCACGGUCUAGUGCCGGCGACAUAUCUUUCAAGUGUCUACCUUAUCAACUGUCGAUGGUAGUUUAUGUGACUACCAUGGUUGUAACGGGUAACGGAGAAUCAGGGUUUGACUCCGGAGAGGGAGCCUGAGAAACGGCUACCACUUCCAAGGAAG
rnacentral:rRNA from 1 species